AUGCUGUGCCUGGAAAAAAGGGAGGGGACACAGCCCCAGAGCAGCCCCCCAUCCACCUUCAUCCUCCUCCUCUUCUUCCUCGCAGCCCUCCCAGGGCUGCGGGCGGCCGUGCAACUGGUCGGGUCCGGAGGGGGCCUCCAGCCCCCCGGGGGGUCCCUGGGUCUCCUCUGCAAGGGCUCCGGCUUCACCUUCAGCAGCAACGCCAUGCUCUGGGUGCGACAGGCGCCCGGGAAGGGGCUGCAGUACGUUGCGAGUAUUAACAGCGGUGGUAGUUACACAAACUACGCGCCGUCGGUCCAAGGACGCUUCACCAUCUCGAGGGACAACUCCCAGAGCACGCUCACGCUGCAGAUGAACAGCCUCAGGGCCGACGACACGGCCACCUACUACUGCGCGAAACUUGCUGAUGGUGGUGGUUGGUCUGAUAAUGCUGGUGGUAUCGACGCGUGGGGCAGCGGAGUCGUCGUCACCGUCUCCUCCGAGGGUUCCCACGCUCCCAACCUCUUCCCGCUGGUUUCUUGCGGGACGCCCGCCACCCAAGACCUCUACUCGGUGGGCUGCGUUGCGGUGGGCUUCCUCCCCGACGACCUCACCUUCGGCUGGAGCACCUACGCCAACGCAAGCAUCACCAAGGGGGUGAGGGUCUUCCCGUCCGUCCUCGCCGCCGGCCGUUACACGGCUUCCAGCCACCUCAGCCUUCCCUUCUCGGACGGCAAAACCCAGCAGCCGUUCUACUGCCGAGCCGCCCAUCCCAAGGGAAGCCGCUCCGUAGAGGUGUCCAACCCCGGUUCCAACACCGUGACCUCCGCCAUCACCAUCCACCCGCCAUCCCGCGAGGAUUUCGAAGGUCCCUACCGAAAUUCCAGCAUCCUUUGCCAAAUCCGCGGAUCCCGGCAGCUGCCCGCCGCCGUCCGGUGGCUGAAAAACGGGGUUUUGCUAAAAGACGGAGUCACCACCGAAGGUUCGGUGGCCGACAGCAAAAGGGCUUACAUCACCAACAGCUGGGCAACCGUUACCGAAGCCGAAUGGGACGCCGGCACCGUCUUCACUUGCCAAGUGGACGAAGACGUGAGGAACACCAGCAAGGCUCUGGAAUGCGGCUAUGACCCCAGCAACAACAACGAGGAGAUCACGGUGCAGGUUGUCCCGCCCGUCUUCGCCGACAUCUUCAAGGAUAAAGUGGCCAAGUUGACGUGCAAGGUGACCAACCUACCAGGCGUGGAAGGGUUGGCCAUCUCUUGGUGGAGGGAGAACGGCGGGAAGUUGGACACCAAGAUGUUGCCUCAAGUCUUGCAACCCAACGGGUUCUUCAGCGUCGACGGCACGGCCACCGUCUACGCCGACGAGUGGGAUAAAGGCGAGAUCUAUACCUGCAAGGUCAGCCACCCCGAGCUCCUCUUCCCCGCCGAAGUCAAGUUGCAGAAGACGCCCAGCCGCAACGCCAAAGCCCCCUCCAUCUACAUCUUCUCCCCUCCGUCCGAACAACUCACCAUGCAGGAAUCCGCCACCAUCACUUGCUUGGUGAAAGGCUUCAACCCUCCGGAUCUUUUCGUCCGUUGGCUCCGCAACGGCGAACCUUUACCCACCGGCGAUUACAUCACCAUGCCGCCCGUCGCCGAAUCGCAGCCGGCCGUCUCUUACUUCACCUACAGUUCCUUGACCGUCAGCGGCGAGGAUUGGCGAGCCGGCAACAUCUUCACUUGCUUGGUCGGCCAUGAGCAAAUCCCUCUGCAGGUGGCGCAGAAAUCGGUGGAUAAAGCUUCGGCCUUCCUCGAUGGCUUCACGGAAGCGGAGGAGGACGACCUCAACAACCUCUGGGCGACAGCCUCGACCUUCAUCGUCCUCUUCAUCCUCAGCCUCUUCUACAGCGCCACGGUCACCUUGAUCAAGGUGAAAUAAUCCAGCUCCCGACGCAUUUCUCCACCCAAAACCGCAGCCUCAUCCCCUCCGUCGCCGGAUAUUGCUGGAAUUUUUUGGGAUUGUCCGACCCCACUUGUAUUCCCCCCCCUCUCCCCUUGUAAAUAUUCUCCAUCCUGAAAAUAAAAUUUUCCAAUUUUC